GAUGAACGCUGGCGGCGUGCCUAAUACAUGCAAGUCGAGCGGACGUACGAGAAGCUUUCUUCUCUGAUGUUAGCGGCGGACGGGUGAGUAACACGUGGAUAACCUACCUAUAGGACUUGGAUAACUUCGUGAAACCGGGGCUAAUACCGGAUAAUAUUUUGAACCGCAUUGUUCAAAAGUGAAAGGCUGUCUUGCUGUCACUUAUAGAUGGAUCCGCGCUGCAUUAGCUAGUUGGUAAGGUAACGGCUUACCAAGGCAACGAUGCAUAGCCGACCUGAGAGGGUGAUCGGCCACACUGGAACCGAGACACGGUCCAGACUACUACGGGAGGCAGCAGUAGGGAAUCUUGCGCAAUGGGCGAAAGCCUGACGGAGCAAAGCCGCGUGAGUGAUGAAGGUCUUCGGAUCGUAAAACUCUGUUAUUAGGGAAGAACAGAUGUGUAAGUAAGUGUGCACAGCUUGACGGUACCUAAUCAGAAAGCCACGGCUAACUACGUG
rnacentral:rRNA from 1 species